ACGAACGCUGGCGGCGUGCUUAACACAUGCAAGUCGAACGGAAAGGCCCUGCUUUUGUGGGGUGCUCGAGUGGCGAACGGGUGAGUAACACGUGAGUAACCUGCCCUUGACUUUGGGAUAACUUCAGGAAACUGGGGCUAAUACCGGAUAGGAGCUCCUGCUUCAUGGUGGGGGUUGGAAAGUUUCGGCGGUUGGGGAUGGACUCGCGGCUUAUCAGCUUGUUGGUGGGGUAGUGGCUUACCAAGGCUUUGACGGGUAGCCGGCCUGAGAGGGUGACCGGCCACAUUGGGACUGGGAUACGGCCCAGACUCCUACGGGAGGCAGCAGUGGGGAAUAUUGCACAAUGGGCGGAAGCCUGAUGCAGCAACGCCGCGUGCGGGAUGACGGCCUUCGGGUUGUAAACCGCUUUCGCCUGUGACGAAGCGUGAGUGACGGUAAUGGGUAAAGAAGCACCGGCUAACUACGUG
rnacentral:rRNA from 1 species